rnacentral:tRNA from 1 species
UGGCCCAUCGUCUAACGGUAGGACAGCAGAUUCUGGCUCUGCGAAUCGGGGUUCGAAUCCCUGUGGGCCAACCA